UGUUCUGUGGUUUAGUUGGUUAAAGCGCUGGUGUAACGAAUACGUAGUCGUGGGUUCAAAUCCAACCAGAGCGU
rnacentral:tRNA from 1 species